UUUUAAUGAUGAUUAAACUUAAUCACCAUCUUUCGACUGAUAAAUCAUGAUAGUCAAUAUAGUUAGUUACUGAGUAUUUAC